CGCUCACGUUUUAUUUAAGACCCAAGAUGGCGGCGUCCGCUCCGUGCCAAAAUACGGCCUGGGUACCAGGUGUGGAAAGGCGUCCAAAGGACGAAUUUACUGAGGAAAGUGGUGAAACUGGACAGUUUUUGUGUUGUGAUACUCCAGAUGGGGACUUUUAAGCAUAUUAAUACUUAUCAUUUGUUCUGGAAGCAUCUCAGAGCCCUCCCUCCAAGUCUUGAACCCGCGAAAGCCACGCUGACCGUGGACUCUCACAUUUGGCGUCCGAAACAAGGAACUUGAAGGGAAAGGAUUCGCCAGAGCGGAAACAUAUCACCAGACCUGAUGGUGGAAGUUUAACUGCGUGUGAAACUCAUGUCAGCUGCGGAAGCCUGCGGAUCCUAUGUGAAAAGAUCUCUUCUAUCAAGGCUCAGGAACAGUUUCUCUCUAGAGAGUGAUGUCAUCAAAAUGUUUGUAUAGGAGUUUUCUACCAUCUUUCUACUCCCACCCCUCCAAAAGAACACCAAUUUUGAUAAUUACGCAUGGAUAAGAGGGCCAGUGUGGAAGUCUAGGAGUCUAGCAGAGAAAUUCCAGCACACUGCUAGAGCAAAAACUCUUGAGAUUGAACUCACUAAAGAAGGAGAAAAUGAAAGAGCAUGAGUGGGUGCCUGGCUUCCCAGAUGUGCCGUAUGCUGCCAAAGAGGAGCAUUUCCUUCUUACCCCAUGCAGAAUACUGAGUAAAGGAUAUGACUCAUUGGCCAGCAAAUAACUGCAAUAGCAGCUAGGGCUGGAAAAGCAUGGAACAGUAUCAAAGAGAUGUAGAUCCUACUAACUGCUUCAUGAACUCAUCAGUAAGUCUGCCCACAAACUGCUGGGGAUGACUCAUCAAUGGACACCCCCACAUUGGUCCACAGGUACCCCAACACACAUCUCCCCAACACAUACCUCAAACCCAGAGACAUUUUCCUGUGCACACCUUUGCAGGUGGUAUCUGUGAGCCUUUGUAGAAGGUUAGUGGGCAUACACAGUAAGAAGGCCUGACAGUGGGAUUAGGAAAAAGCACACAAACUUUGAGUUUUCUACAUUGACCUACAGAAGGCAAAUGGGAGGUUGUCAGUACCCAGCCUGGCUUUGCAGAAUUUAGAGAAGUAUUAAAAUCUCGAGUCCCCCCUACCGCCAACAGGAAACAGGAAUUGUGGGACAGGUGUACCCAUAGAAAAGGUCAGAGAAAGCCUCAAAAUCCCUAACAGGGCAGAUGGAAGGCAUUUGUCUCCCAAAGCCAGUCAGUAAAAACUGAAGUAGGUGAUGCUUCUUUAGAUGUGAAGACGGUAAUGCAAGGAUUCAAAAAACAAGAAAAAUCAAAGAAACAUGACUCCAACAAAGGAAAACAAUUGUCCAGAAACCAGCUCCAAAUAAAUGGAGAUCUGUGAUUUGCUUGAUACAGAAUUCAGAAUAGUUGUUUUAAGGGAGGUCAUUAAAGUACAAGAAAACAUACAAAGUUAAGUUGAUGAAAUCAGGCAAACAAUACAAUAACACAGUAACUUUAAUAGAAAUCAUUAAGAAAAACAAAACAAAUUCUGGAGCUGCAGAAUACAAUUAAUAAAAUGAAAAUAAAAAUCAGUAGAGACCAUCAACAGAAGACUGGUUCAAGCAGAAGAAAGAAUCUGUGAAAUAGAAGACAGAUCAUUUGAAAUUAUCCAGUCAGAUGGGAGAACAAAGUAAAAGAAUGCAAAGAGGUAACAAAAGCCUACAUAGUUACUUCCCCUACAAUUUCAUCACAAAUCAAUCUUUCCUAAGAUACAUCUUUUAAAAUUUGUCUAAAAUAAAAGACAAAGAGAGAAUUUUAAAUGAAGCAAGAAGAGAAAAAUAAACUUACAUACUGGAGAAUGCCCAUAAGGCUAUCAUUCAAUUUCUUAGCAAAAAUCUUGCAGCCCAGGAGACAGUAGAAUGAUAUACACAAAUCGCUGAAAGGAAAAUCUUUCAACCAAGAAUACUUUACCUGGCCAAAGAUGUCCUUUAGAAAUCAAGGAGUAAUAAAGACAUUUCCUGAUAAACGAAAGCUCAGUGAGUUCAUCACCACUAGACCUGCCUUAUUUCUUAUGCUUAAAGGAGUUCCCCAAGAUGAAAUAAAAGGGCACUAAUUAUACUACUAACCAUGGUAAUCAAAACAGCCUCAUCCUGGCACAAGAACAGGUAUAUAGAUCAGUGGAACAGAACAGAGAACCCAGAAAUCAACACAAGCCAUUACGUUCAAGUAAUAUUUGACAAAGGAGGCAAGAGCAUACAAUGGCAUCAAGACAGUCUCUUCAAUAAAUGUGUUGGGAAAAUUGGACAGAUACAUGCAAAAAAAUGAAACUAGACCACCAACUUACACCAUACAUAAGAAUAAACUGAAAAUGCAUAAAAUACUUAAAUGUAAGUCGUGAAACCAUUAAAAUUCUUAAAGAAACCAUUGGAGGCAAAAUCUCAGCCAUGUCUCAUAAAAACAUUCAGGGAUAAAAAGAAAUGUGCUAUAAAGCCAUGAAGAAACAAGGAGUUAAUUUAAACUAAUAUUGAUAAGUGAAAGAAGCCAGUCUGUUCAUUUAUUUUAUGAAUUAGAAUAUAGUUUAUCUUGAGUAUAUCAAGAUAUCAAGGUUAUCUAGAAUAUUUCAUGUACAAUUGCAAGCAAUACAAAUUUUGCUGUUGGGUAUAGUGUUUUGCAAACGUCAGUUAUGACAAGUUGAUUCUAAUGUUGUUUAGAUCUAUUAACUUUCUACCUGAUUGUUCCAUUAAAUCGUAAGAGUAAGGUAUUGAAAUUUCCAAAUAUAACCAUGGAAUUGUCUGUGUCUUACAUUUCUGUCAGUUUUUGCUUCAGGUAUUGUAGGAAUUGUUAGGUCUUGUAGGCAAAUUGCCCUCUUUCUUAUUAUGUAAUGUUCUUCUUUAUCCUUCUUCUGAAGUCUACUUUUUUAUAUUAAUAUAGCCAUCCCAACUUUCUUUUGAUUAGUGUUUGUAUUAUAUACUUUGUCUUUUUAUUUAUAGUUAUUUUCUGGUAUAAAGAAUAUAGUUGGAUCUCAAGGAAGAUUUGUAUACCAUUUAAUUUUAUAUUUUACACGAUUAUACAAGCUUUCUAUUUUUUUUUUCUUGAGUCAGCUAUGUUAAGUUAUAUUUUUUCUUAGAAUUUGUCUCUUUCCUCUAAAUUUUCAAUCUUAUAGGCAUGAAUUCUUCAUACCGGUUCCCUAAUCUUUUUAAUCUUUAUAUUCUCUUUUUGUUCCCCUUUUCUUUAAUAUUAUUUCUAUGUAUCUUUCUUUUUAUCUUGAUGCAUCUGCCAAAUGUUUGUCCAUUUUGGUAGUUUUGUAAGAGGAAUAAAUGUGGGGUUUUGUUGAUUUUUAUUGUAUCUUUGUUUUCUAUUUCAUGAAUUGAUACCUUUACCUCUAAUACCUCCUUCCUUCUACUUUUGUUUUCCCCCCUACUGCCCCUAUUUAUCCUUAGCUUGGAUACUUAGCUUAUUAUAGCUGUAAAGUUUUCUCAAAGCAUGCUUUUCCAUGUCUCACAGGUUUUUAUAUGUAAUAUUUUCUUUAUUAUUAAAUUUUAAGUAUUUUAAGAUAUACCUCAUGAUUUCUUCUUUGAUUCAUAUUUGGAAAUGUACUUGUUUUUUGGUUUUUUUUUAGAAAUGUGUUUUCAAAGGAAAAAAACUUUAAAUUAUGAAGUAUAGGUAGAUGUUUUAUAUACCUUCUUUAUUAAUAUGUAACUUAAUUUCAGUGAGGUAAGACAGCAUGAAUUCUCUGAUACCAAUUCUUUAAAUUUGUAAAUAAUUUUAUAUGGUCUAAAGCAGAAUUAAUUUUGUAACUGUUCCAAAUGAACUUCAAAUGAGUUAUGUUUUCUGUAUUUCUUCAAUGCAGAAGUGUGUAUGUCUCCAUGUACAUUUGGCAAAGCUUGUAAGUUGUGUUGUUUAAAACUUCUGUAUGCUAUUGAUUUGUAUAUUACUUCUCAAUAAUUGAAAAGACCUGUUGAAUUCUUUCAC